rnacentral:rRNA from 3 species
AAAACUUUCAACAACGGAUCUCUUGGUUCUGGCAUCGAUGAAGAACGCAGCGAAAUGCGAUAAGUAAUGUGAAUUGCAGAAUUCAGUGAAUCAUCGAAUCUUUGAACGCACAUUGCGCCCGCCAGUAUUCUGGCGGGCAUGCCUGUCCGAGCGUCAUUUCAACCCUCGAACCCCUCCGGGGGGUCGGCGUUGGGGAUCGGGACCCCUCACCGGGUGCCGGCCCUGAAAUACAGUGGCGGUCUCGCCGCAGCCUCUCCUGCGCAGUAGUUUGCACAACUCGCACCGGGAGCGCGGCGCGUCCACGUCCGUAAAACACCCAACUUCUGAAAUGUUGACCUCGGAUCAGGUAGGAAUACCCGCUGAACUUAAGCAUAUCAAUAAGCGGAGGAAAAGAAACCAACAGGGAUUGCCCCAGUAACGGCGAGUGAAGCGGCAACAGCUCAAAUUUGAAAUCUGGCCCCUCCGGGUCCGAGUUGUAAUUUGUAGAGGAUGCUUUUGGUGAGGUGCCGCCCGAGUUCCCUGGAACGGGACGCCACAGAGGGUGAGAGCCCCGUCUGGCUGGCCACCGAGCCUCUGUAAAGCUCCUUCGACGAGUCGAGUAGUUUGGGAAUGCUGCUCAAAAUGGGAGGUAUAUGUCUUCUAAAGCUAAAUAUUGGCCAGAGACCGAUAGCGCACAAGUAGAGUGAUCGAAAGAUGAAAAGCACCUUGAAAAGAGGGUUAAACAGUACGUGAAAUUGUUGAAAGGGAAGCGCUUGUGACCAGACUUGGGCGCGGCGGAUCAUCCGGGGUUCUCUCCGGUGCACUUCGCCGCGUUCAGGCCAGCAUCAGUUCGUCGCGGGGGAAAAAGGCUUCGGGAACGUGGCUCCUCCGGGAGUGUUAUAGCCCGUUGCAUAAUACCCUGCGGUGGACUGAGGACCGCGCAUCUGCAAGGAUGCUGGCGUAAUGGUCACCAGCGACCCGUCUUGAAACACGGACCAAGGAGUCGUCUUCGUAUGCGAGUGUUCGGGUGUCAAACCCCUACGCGUAAUGAAAGUGAACGCAGGUGAGAGCUUCGGCGCAUCAUCGACCGAUCCUGAUGUUCUCGGAUGGAUUUGAGUAAGAGCAUACGGGGCCGGACCCGAAAGAAGGUGAACUAUGCCUGUAUAGGGUGAAGCCAGAGGAAACUCUGGUGGAGGCUCGCAGCGGUUCUGACGUGCAAAUCGAUCGUCAAAUAUGGGCAUGGG